GAUGAACGCUGGCGGCGUGCCUAAUACAUGCAAGUCGAGCGAACAGACGAGGAGUUUGUUCCUCUGACGUUAGCGGCGGACGGGUGAGUAACACGUGGAUAAUCUCCCUUUAAGACUGGGAUAACUUCGGGAAACAGGAGCCAAUACCGGAUAAUAUCUUGAACCGCAUGGUUCAAUAGUGAUAUACGGUUCUGCUGUCACUUAUGGAUGGAUAACCGCCGCAUUAGCUAGUUGGUAAGGUAAUGCAUUACCAAGGCAACGAUGCGUAGGCGACCUGAGAGUGUGAUUGGCGACGCAUGAACUGAGACUCGGGCCUGGGUGCUAGGGGGUGCAGCAGUAUGGUAUCUUCGGCUAGGGGCGGAAGCAUGACAGAGCAACGCCGCGUGUGUGAUAAUGGUCCUCGGAUCGUAAAAAGCUGUUAUUGGGGAGGAACAUAUGUCUAAGAAACUGAGCACGGCUUGACGGUACCUGAUCGGAAGGCCGCAGCUAACUGCGUA
rnacentral:rRNA from 1 species